AGCGAACGCUGGCGGCAGGCCUAACACAUGCAAGUCGAACGAACCUUUCGGGGUUAGUGGCGGACGGGUGAGUAACACGUGGGAACGUGCCUUUAGGUUCGGAAUAACUCAGGGAAACUUGUGCUAAUACCGAAUGUGCCCUUCGGGGGAAAGAUUUAUCGCCUUUAGAGCGGCCCGCGUCUGAUUAGCUAGUUGGUUGAGGUAAUGGCUCACCAAGGCGACGAUCAGUAGCUGGUCUGAGAGGAUGAUCAGCCACAUUGGGACUGAGACACGGCCCAAACUCCUACGGGAGGCAGCAGUGGGGAAUCUUGCGCAAUGGGCGAAAGCCUGACGCAGCCAUGCCGCGUGAAUGAUGAAGGUCUUAGGAUUGUAAAAUUCUUUCACCGAGGACGAUAAUGACGGUACCCGGAGAAGAAGCCCCGGCUAACUUCGUG
rnacentral:rRNA from 1 species